GUGCCCCCUUGCUCAGCACUUACACUAAAAUUGGAGUGAUACAAAGGUGAGUAUGGGCCCUGGGCAAGGAUGACAUGCAACGUCAUGAAGUGGUACAUAUUUUU
ensembl:snRNA U6 U6 spliceosomal RNA